rnacentral:lncRNA from 1 species
GCGUCGGGCACAGCAUGGGCGCGCUGAUGCACGCGCUCAUAGGCUCGAGGUACAAGCUCCCAGACCGCGUCGGGAACGUGCUGAUAUCGUUCAAUAACAAGCCCGCGACGGACGCGGUGCCGCUGUUCACGCCCGUCGUCGCGCCGGGGCUUCAGGCGCGUUCUGUACACUGGUUCCCAUACGACCCCGUUCGCGUGGUGAACGCCGUUUCUUAAGGACUUUUCCCGGCGCAUCUCUCCGCCCAGGGUCCCUCGCUUUCAAUCCCGACACACCUCGAUGCCUUUCAACUUCAACUGACGCCUUUCAACUCCACCUCGACGUUCGCUCGUAUGGAACGACCCUCAGAACCUCUCGCCGCUGUUCAACGGCAUCUCGUCGUCGCCGUUGCGCGCGCCCGCGCGCGCGAUCGACGCGUCUCUGCGCGCGCGAGCGCCGCCGGUGGUCAGGGAGUUGCUGCCGGUGCUGGACCAGCUCGAGCCGGUGUUUUUGGAGGUGGCCAACGGCGCGAACGAGUUCGUG